UGUUUUAAAAUUUAAUAUUUGAUAUUUAUGAUAUUACAGAAAAAUGAAAAAUUUAAUAAUUAAAACAUAAAUUAUCCUAAAUAUAAAUAAAGGAUAACCUAAAUCUAUUGAUCUUGAAAGCUCAAUAAAUUAUUCCUAUUCAAUUGAUCUUACAUAUAUAUUCAUUACUUUCCCGGUGAUGGUGGCUGUGGUGGUUCCAUUGUCGGUAACGUAUCAGAAUAUAGAUAAUUUUGAUAUAUCGCCCUACUGAUAUCACCUCCCAUACCUUCAUUUUUAUUUGCUUCAUCUAUCUUACUAGAGAACUUCGCCAUUAAAUCACCUGCUUCUUCAGUCCGGAUAUCACAUCCUUCCCGCAUUGUUGGAAACCUCUCUCCACCAUUUUUCGAACUUCCGACCUCAUUAAUAUUGCUACGGUAUAUGCUCGGGUCAAGGCCACCGUAAAGGGACGAUUCAGACAUGCCGUAAUUACCUCCAACUACGUUGGAAAUUGAAUAAUUAGUUCCUCCAACCGUAGGAUAAGUGUAAUGGGCAGUCGGAUCCAUCAUACCAUUAGAUCGACUUUUAUCGUACAUGAGUUAGUGUUUUUUGUUGUACAUUUUUUUUCGUCGUACAUGUGUUAGUUAAUGUCUUGUGUAGUACAUUAUUGUGACUGUUUGAUUAAAAAUUAAAAGACAGAAUACGUAUGGUACAUUUUGGAACACCAACGUACGGCGCAUCUAAAAAUUAUCGUAUUUUUUAUACCCUUUCCUUGAUAUCAUUUCUUUAAACCUAGUCACCCAAUCCAUUGACCUGAGUACCUUCUAGCAACCCAAAUUCUAUGUCAUUUGCGAUUAGAUAGUUAGGAUUUUAAAUAACGCAAUACUUAAAAAUUAGUUUAUAAAAAAGGGAAAUAACGCAAACAUCAAUAGGUGAUAUAUUAUAUGAUUCUGACAUAUUACCCAGAGAUAAAGAUUAUAACAUCAUUAUAAAAAAAAUUGACAAACCAAUUUUUGACAUUUAUUAAAAAAUAAUCAAAAUUCGUCAUAGAUCAUCGACCAUUAUUGGAACAUCUUUUCUUGAAACCUCAAAAAAUUAUUCUUAUUCGAUUCAUCUUAAUUACUUAUAUAUUCAUUUCUUUCCCGAUGAUGGUGGUUCUAUUUUCGGUGAUGUAUCAGGGUCGUAGAGAUAAUUUUCGAUACCAUCAUUUUCGAUAUCAUCAUUUUUGGUAGCAUCAUUUUCGGUACCAUCAUUUUCAUUUUCUUCACCUAUCUUAAUAGAGAACUUCGCCAUUAAAUCACCUUCAUCAGUCAUUGUAUCAAAUCCUCCCUGCAAUGUUGGAAACAUAUCUCCUUCAUUGUUCAAAUUUCCGAUCUCAUUAUUGCUACGGCAAAUGCUCGGGUCAAGGCCACCGUAAAGGGACGAUUCAGACAGGUCGUAACCUCCAACUACAUUGGAAAUUGAAUAGCUAGUCCCUCCGACCGCAGGAUAAGCGUAAUGGGCAUUCGGAUCCAUCAUACCAGUGUAAUCAUUUCCAUAUUCAUUAUUACAGUUGUCUAUUUCGAGACCAGUACCACUAGAACUAGCACCAUAGGUAUCCAUACUCAUCAAAUUGGUUUGUGAUUCAUGCGCAAGUGGAGAUUGUUUCUGUUGUUGUUGUUGCGAAUCUAGCGUCUGAUAUGAUGGGAAGGUAUUUGAUUUCACUCCCUCUGACUCUCGAUAUUUCUCCAAAUAAAUCUAAUGGAACAAAAUACAUUCGAAAAGAGAAUUAAUUAAGAUAAUGUCUGAUAGUUUGUGAAAUAUUUUGUAAAAUAUUUUGUUAAUUAUGAUCGAACGAGAUGAACCUUUAGAGGAACGGUAUAUAGCGAAAAAUCGAGACGAUUCAUGGACCAAAGAAGGUCAUCGCCGUUGACUGUUUUACGUUUCUCACUUCGACACUUUUCAGCGGCUUCGCCAGUGAUGAAACUAAUGAACUCCGACACACAUUCCUGAACCGUUUCUUUGGCUUCUUUCGAGAUCUUGGCAUGUGUCGGUAGAGCUCUCUUCAUGAUCCGACUCACAUUUGCAAUUGGAAGAAAUCGAUCAAUUGAAGGUACAUCAUUUCCUGGAUUAAUGUUAGAAGCACUUCUAGUCUGGAUCAUUGGUUUAUUGGUCGCAGAAUCUCCUUCAAUUCCGUUGAAAUCAUCUUUAUAAGUUUCUUCGGGCAUAUUUUAUGAUCGGUAUCUAAAUAAAUUUCUAUUUUUGUGGAAGAAAUUUCUAUCUUUGUCAAUUGACCUAUCUUUAGCCAUCAAUCUUAAUUAUUUAUAUCGAAGGAAUGAAUGAAUAUUACAAAUUAAAUUAACAAUAACAAUAAAAAAACUAUAUUAGUACCAACCAACUAACUAACUGUAUUUUUAACCGACAAAAUUAGUUUCUUUAUUAACUCCCUCUAAUAAAUGAUUAGUUUGGAUAAUUAAGUUACGAUUAGUUUUUUUAAUUAUCAUUAAAGAUGCAAAAUGUUAUAAUUUAUAAAUUUAUAUAUAACUUCUUAAUAUUAUUUACUAUUGACGGUCUAUUUAUAAAAUUUUAAAAAUAUUUGUUAAGUUUUAAAGAAUAAACAAAACUAGAAAUUAAAAAAAGUUUAAAACCAAAAACUAUCGUCGUUAACUCGUUAUUCCCAUUCCCCGCUAUUUCGGUUAGGUUUUAUCUCUUUUUUUUAGGGUUUUCACCCCUCACCCUCACAACGCUCACAGGAAGUCAUGAAUCACAACCUCACAGCGUUCACACUUCACAGCCACAGGUAUUUCUUAUCUUCUUAUUAAUUUCGAUCUCUUCUUUUCUCUUUCUUAAUUUCUUCAUUAGAUCUCUCUAAAUUUUUUGUGGAUCUUUCCAUGUCUAAUGUCUUUUUUUGAACAGAUUAUCUUCCUGACUUCCUCGAUCUGAUCUGUAGAUUAGUUAUAAUGAAUAAUGAUUUGUAGACUGGUUAUAUUUUUUUUAACCAUCAAAAUCCGUGUCGUCUAGUAAAGGACGUAAUGUCAUCAGAACACCGAUGAAAAUAAAAAAAACGUGCUAAAGAUAAUAUGAGAAAUUAAAAUUUCAAAAUAAAAUAAAUAAAAUAUAUACCUAAACACCUGUAUAUGAGAUCUUUGUAUGACACACCAACCAAAUAUUUUUACUAUUGUAAUUUACAUAUUUUAUUAUCAUAUCUUCGAAGUCGUUGUCAACUGUGUUGUAUUUGAUUUUGAAUGAAUGCGUGCCUCCAGAAUCUUCAACAUCCUUGUUUCGUAUCCUAAGACUAAAAUUUUACCAGUUUCUAUUUCUCUAGGAUUUCUCGUCCAUAUUUUAUAACAAUCGUUAAUAUAAUGAUUGUUGACUUCACAACGAAAAUAAGCAAAACCACGACAAUAAUAAUCUAUAUUUUUUUGAAAACUAAAUUGAAUCCAGUUAAGUCGUUCGAGUCGUUAAUGUCAUUCGACAAUUAAAAGUAGUUGACUUAAUUUUUAUUGAAAAUAAAAAAAUAUUUACAAUCUUAUAAUUAAAAUAUAAAUUUAUAAAAUUAAUCAAUUACAAUCAAUAUCGGAAAUAUCUCUAUUCGGUAUUUUAAGCACACUACUNNNNNNNNNNNNNNNNNNNNNNNNNNNNNNNNNNNNNNNNNNNNNNNNNNNNNNNNNNNNNNNNNNNNNNNNNNNNNNNNNNNNNNNNNNNNNNNNNNNNNNNNNNNNNNNNNNNNNNNNNNNNNNNNNNNNNNNNNNNNNNNNNNNNNNNNNNNNNNNNNNNNNNNNNNNNNNNNNNNNNNNNNNNNNNNNNNNNNNNNNNNNNNNNNNNNNNNNNNNNNNNNNNNNNNNNNNNNNNNNNNNNNNNNNNNNUCCCGACCAUUGGAUUAUUGGUUGCAAGCUUCCUUCAAUUCAGUUGUUCACGCCUUCAGAUGUUCCUCUGACAUGGUUUGUGAAAAGAAUUUAUAAGAAUGUUUAAACCUAUUCCCAAAAUUCUUGUCCACCCAUAAAAUAGAAAUUUCAAUGUCCUGUCCACCAAUAGAUUUUUUUUUAGCUAUCAAUAGUUUUCUUUAACUAUCAACCACCUAAUUUUGAUGCAAUAUAGAUAUUAUUGACUAAUAAUCCAAAUUAUGUACUUUGUCGACACUAAGGUGUCAAACGAGCUGAGCUUUGGCUUAUUGAGCUAGGCUCGGGCUCAGCUCGUUAAGGAGUAAUCCAGGCUCGAGCUCGGGCUCAGCUCGUUAAUGAUUUGCCGAUACCGAGCCCUUGCCGAAGUCAUCGAGUCAAGAUUUAUUUGACACCCUAGUCGACGCUAAUCGUUUUGUCCAAUGUCUAUUAUGAAAUUCGGUCAUAUUUUCCGAGGCGGGUAUCGUGGCAAGACAUUCUCGAGUUUGGCCCAGUCUUCAUAGACCGAGACUCACUCGAAACUCGAAAUUUUCUAUGAAAAAUCCGUCUUAAAAUAUAAAUGAAAUUAAUUUAACCAAUUACUCUCUAAUUAAUUUAAAUUCAUCAAUUAACCCAUUUUUAAUUUAUCUAAUUUACCUCUGUUUAUUUUUUAGGGCAGGUUUCCUAUACUGAUUAAAAAAUAAAAUUUUGGAUGACCAAUUCAUAUUGAUUAUAAAAACUAGCUUAUAAAAAUUCAAUACAUUCACUCCAUACAAUAAUUAAUAUUCAAUACAUUAAUUAAUAUUCAAAUUAAAAAUAAACACAUUUAUUUAAUUAACAAUAAAAAUUUCAAGAAAAUUAAUGAUUAUUUCAAUAUCCUACGACGAGGACACAUAUCAUUAAAUAUUUUUAAAAUGACUUCAUUGUCUAUAUUUUUAAAAACAGUUUUUUGAAUAUAUGUUAAUAAACAAUCAUUCAUCAAACUAUCACCAAAUUUAUAUAUUAAAUUUAUUUUAAUAUAUAAAAUAUAAAAUAUAAAAUAUUUUAAUAUAUUAAAUAUUGAGAGUGGUAGAGGGAGUGGGGAAGAGAAUAUAUUAAAUAUUGUGAAAUUUUGUAUAUUAACCCUUGAAAAAUAUUAAUAUAUUGUGAAAAUUGCAUUUAACUCCUUAUAAAAAAAUUAUUACAUACAGGUCCUUAUUUUUUCCCCCAAAAUUCAAAGGGGGCAAUUAUCCUCUCUUGCAGCCCCUGGCUACGCCACUGCGCACCGACAUACAGUGGAUCUGAAAAUUAUCGUAUUUUUUUAUACCAUUUCCUUAAUAUCAUUUGUUUUAACCUAGUCACCCAAUCCAUUGAUCCAAUUUGAGUACCUUCUAGCUAUAUAAGCCUGUAAAUUUUUUAAAAUUUAAUAUCUGAUAUUUAUGAAAUUACAGAAAAAUAAUGAAAAAUUUAAUAAUUAAAACAUAAAUUAUCCUAAAAUAUAAAUGAAGGAUAACCUAAAUCUAUUGAUCUUGAAAGCUCAAUAUAUUAUUCUUAUUCGAUUCAUCUUACAUAUAUAUUCAUUACUUUCCCGGUGAUGGUGGUUGUGGUGGUUCCAUUGUCGGUAACGUAUCAGAAUAGAGAUAAUUUUGAUAUAUCGCCCUACUGAUAUCACCUCCCAUACCUUCAUUUUUAUUUGCUUCAUCUAUCUUACUAGAGAACAUCGCCAUUAAAUCACCUGCUUCUUCAGUCCUGCUAUCACAUCUUUCCUGCAUUGUUGGAAACCUCUCGCCACCAUUCUUCAAACUUCCGAACUCAUUAUUGCUACGGUAAAUGCUCGGGUCAACGCCAGCGUAAAGGAACGAUUCAGACAUGCCAUAAUUACCUCCACCUAGGUUGGAAAUUGAAUAGCUAGUUUCUCCAACCGUAGGAUAAAUGUAAUGGGCAGUUGGAUCCAUCAUACCAGUGUAAUCAUUUCCAUAACCAUUACAGUUUCUUCCAAUCGGUAUAGUAUAUCUAUCGUUGUCUAUUCCGAGACCAGUACCACUAGAACUAGCACAAUUGAUAUCCAUACACAUCCGUUUAAUUGGUGGUUGUUGCN
rnacentral:lncRNA from 1 species